GGGUGUGGUACUGAGGCUUCAGCGGGUGCCGCCCGCCUAGAGGGAGUGGAGCGGUGAGCACGUCAGGGGUGGGGGGCGCAGGUCAAGCUUUCACCAGUUUUUAAUUCUUUGAUGGGGUAAAUUUGAGCAAUUUUCUCGACUUGUCGACAUUCGUUAUUAACUGAGCAGGAAUCAGGAGAGGAACCCGGUCCUCUCCACACAGCCCAGCAGAGAGCCUACGACUAGAUUUGCAUCUUUACGUCCUGCGCGGAGGCUGCUACACACAUGCAGAAGUCAUGCUGGUGGCCUGGACAUUGAAGGGAGAGAAGUGGAUUUGGGAGACAUUUAGGAGGAACAGUAAGAGGACCUUGUGCAUGAAUAAUUUGUUUCCACACUACAGAGUGGGUAAUAAGCAGAUUAGUAAAAACAAUUCUGCUUCACUUCAAUAACAGCCUCCUCCAACUCAUUUUUUCUCAACAAACUUAUUUUUCCAGCAGAAGAAUCCCAGUCUUCUUAGAGAACCCAGUGACUUUUUGCACCUUAAAUCUGUGAAAUCCUCAUGUUUUCUUCUGCCGUAUCCAUAGUUCAAACAAAGAUGAGGCAAAGCUAGAUGCAUUCCUGAAGGAACCCAAGAAAUUCCUCUCUUUAUUUCUCUGGAAUGAAAUGAAUUCUCUAGACGACCAGUUCUAACCUUCAAAAACCAAACCUGUUUGUGAGAUCUCCUUCAAAUACUACUGUAGACCCCAG
rnacentral:lncRNA from 1 species